GGGUCAGUAGGUUGGUCGUGCCACCGGUACGUACUGGUCUCACUGAUUCCUCCUUCCUGAAGAACCGUAAUGCCAUUAAUUUGGUGUUGCGGGGAAACAGGACUUUUACUUUGAAAAAAUUAGAGUGUUUAAAGCAAGCUAACGCUUGAAUACAUUAGCAUGGAAUAAUGAAAUAGGACGAUCGAUCCUAUUUUGUUGGUUUCUAGGAUUGACGUA
rnacentral:rRNA from 1 species